UACGGGAGGCAGCAGUGGGGAAUAUUGCACAAUGGGCGCAAGCCUGAUGCAGCCAUGCCGCGUGUAUGAAGAAGGCCUUCGGGUUGUAAAGUACUUUCAGUCGUGAGGAAGGUGUUAAGGUUAAUAACCUUAGCAAUUGACGUUAGCGACAGAAGAAGCACCGGCUAACUCCGUGCCAGCAGCCGCGGUAAUACGGAGGGUGCGAGCGUUAAUCGGAAUUACUGGGCGUAAAGGGCACGCAGGCGGUUAAUUAAGUUGGAUGUGAAAUCCCCGGGCUUAACCUGGGAAUGGCAUUCAAGACUGGUUAGCUAGAGUCUUGUAGAGGGGGUAGAAUUCCAUGUGUAGCGGUGAAAUGCGUAGAGAUGUGGAGGAAUACCGGUGGCGAAGGCGGCCCCUGGACAAAGACUGACGCUCAUGUGCGAAAGCGUGGGGAGCAAACAGGGAUUAGAACC
rnacentral:rRNA from 1 species